UACGUAGGGUCCGAGCGUUGUCCGGAAUUAUUGGGCGUAAAGGGCUCGCAGGCGGUUCGUCACGUCGGGAGUGAAAACUCGGGGCUUAACCCCGAGCCUGCUUCCGAUACGGGCAGACUAGAGGUAGGCAGGGGAGAGCGGAACUCCUGGUGUAGCGGUGGAAUGCGCAGAUAUCAGGAAGAACACCGGUGGCGAAGGCGGCUCUCUGGGCCUUACCUGACGCUGAGGAGCGAAAGCGUGGGUAGCGAGCAGG
rnacentral:rRNA from 1 species